rnacentral:rRNA from 1 species
AGUGAACGCUGGCGGUAGGCCUAACACAUGCAAGUCGAACGGCAGCACAGUAAGAGCUUGCUCUUACGGGUGGCGAGUGGCGGACGGGUGAGGAAUACAUCGGAAUCUACUUUUUCGUGGGGGAUAACGUAGGGAAACUUACGCUAAUACCGCAUACGACCUACGGGUGAAAGCAGGGGAUCUUCGGACCUUGCGCGAUUGAAUGAGCCGAUGUCGGAUUAGCUAGUUGGCGGGGUAAAGGCCCACCAAGGCGACGAUCCGUAGCUGGUCUGAGAGGAUGAACAGCCACACUGGAACUGAGACACGGUCCAGACUCCUACGGGAGGCAGCAGUGGGGAAUAUUGGACAAGGGGCGCAAGCCUGAUCCAGCCAGACCGCGUGGGUGAAGAAGGCCUUCGGGUUGUAAAGCCCUUUUGUUGGGAAAGAAAAGCAGCAGGUUAAUACCCCGCUGUUCUGACGGUACCCAAAGAAUAAGCACCGGCUAACUUCG